rnacentral:rRNA from 1 species
AGAGUUUGAUCAUGGCUCAGAACGAACGUUGGCGGCGUGCUUAACACAUGCAAGUCGAACGAGAACGGUUUCUUCGGAGACCUAGUAAAGUGGCGCACGGGUGAGUAACGCGUAGAUAACCUGUCCAGGUGUUCGGGAUAGCCCUUCGAAAGGGGGAUUAAUACCGGACACGUUAGUUUGUCAUAAGACAGAUUAAGAAAGGUGGCCUCUAUUUAUAAGCUAUCGCAUUUGGAGGGGUCUGCGUACCAUUAGUUUGUUGGUGGGGUAAUGGCCUACCAAGACUUCGAUGGUUAGCGGGUCUGAGAGGAUGAUCCGUCACACUGGCACUGAAACACGAGCCAGACUCCUACGGGAGGCAGCAGUGAGGAAUAUUGCGCAAUGGGGGAAACCCUGACGCAGCGACGCCGCGUGGGUGAGGAAGGCUUUCGGGUCGUAAAGCCCUGUCAGAAGGGAAGAAAUGUGUAGUGGUUAAUAUCCAUUGCACUUGACGGUACCUUCAAAGGAAGCACCGGCUAACUCCGUGCCAGCAGCCGCGGUAAUACGGAGGGUGCAAACGUUGUUCGGAAUCACUGGGCGUAAAGGGCGCGCAGGCGGUUUGAUUAGUCAGAUG